AUUCCAGCUCCAAUAGCGUAUAUUAAAGUUGUUGCGGUUAAAAAGCUCGUAGUUGGAUUUCUGUCAAAGGUAAGGCGGUCCAUCUUAUGGAUGUGUAUCUGCCUAUGCCUUGGCAUCCUCAUGAAGAACGUUUUCGCGCUUCACUGCGUGUUUACGGUAUUCAUGACUUUUACUUUGAGGAAAUUAGAGUGUUCACGGCAGGCAAUCGCUUUGGGUACAUUAGCAUGGAAUAAUACUAUAGGACCUCGGUUCUAUUUUGUUGGUUUCUAGAGCUGAGGUAAUGAUUAAUAGGGAUAAUUGGGGGUCUUUGUAUUGCAACGUCAGAGGUGAAAUUCUUGGAUUGUUGCACGACAAACUACUGCGAAAGCAUUGACCAAGGAUGUUUUCAUCA
rnacentral:rRNA from 1 species